GAUGAACGCUGGCGGCGUGCUUAACACAUGCAAGUCGAACGGAAAGGCCCAAGCUUGCUUGGGUACUCGAGUGGCGAACGGGUGAGUAACACGUGGGUGAUCUGCCCUGCACUUCGGGAUAAGCCUGGGAAACUGGGUCUAAUACCGGAUAGGACCACAUUUUGGAUGGUGUGGUGGAAAGUUUUUCGGUGUGGGAUGAGCUCGCGGCCUAUCAGCUUGUUGGUGGGGUAAUGGCCUACCAAGGCGUCGACGGGUAGCCGGCCUGAGAGGGUGUACGGCCACAUUUGGGCUGAGAUACGGCCCAGACUCCCUCGGGAGGCAGCAGUGGGGAAUAUUGCACAAUGGGCGCAAGCCUGAUGCAGCGACGCCGCGUGGGGGAUGACGGCCUUCGGGUUGUAAACUCCUUUCGCUAGGGACGAAGCGUUUUUGUGACGGUACCUGGAGAAGAAGCACCGGCUAACUACGUG
rnacentral:rRNA from 1 species